rnacentral:rRNA from 1 species
UUUUGGACAAUGGCGCAAGCCUGAUCCAGCAAUGCCGCGUGAGUGAAGAAAGCCUUCGGGUUGUAAAGCUCUUUUGUCAGGGAAGAAACGGUGAGCUCUAAUACAGUUUGCUAAUGACGGUACCUGAAGAAUAAGGCACCGGCUAACUACGUGCCAGCAGCCGCGGUAAUACGUAGGGUGCAAGCGUUAAUCCGGAAUUACUGGGCGUAAAGCGUGCGCAGGCGGUUAUGUAAGUCAGAUGUGAAAUCCCCGGGCUCAACCUGGGAAGUGCAUCCGAAACUAAUAAACUAGAAGACGGUAGAGGAAGGUGGAAUUCCAAGUGUAGAGGUGAAAUUGGUAGUUAUUGGAGGAAUACCGGGGCGAAGGCGCCUUGGGGCCUUCUGACGGGAGACUCAAAG